GACGUAGGGCGCGAGCGUUGUCCGGAUUUAUUGGGCGUAAAGAGCUCGUAGGCGGCUUGUCGCGUCGACUGUGAAAACUUGGGGCUCAACCCCAAGCUUGCAGUCGAUACGGGCAGGCUAGAGUUCGGUAGGGGAGACUGGAAUUCCUGGUGUAGCGGUGAAAUGCGCAGAUAUCAGGAGGAACACCGAUGGCGAAGGCAGGUCGCUGGGCCGAUACUGACGCUGAGGAGCGAAAGCGUGGGGAGCGAACAGG
rnacentral:rRNA from 1 species